rnacentral:rRNA from 1 species
GAUGAACGCUAGCGAUAGGCUUAACACAUGCAAGUCGAGGGGCAGCGAGGGUAGCAAUACCUGUCGGCGACCGGCGCACGGGUGAGUAACGCGUAUGUAACCUGCCCGCAACAGGGGGAUAACCCGGCGAAAGUCGGACUAAUACCGCAUAAAACAGGGGUCCCGCAUGGGAAUAUUUGUUAAAGAUUUAUCGGUUGCGGAUGGGCAUGCGUACCAUUAGGUAGUUGGUGAGGUAACGGCUCACCAAGCCUUCGAUGGUUAGGGGUUCUGAGAGGAAGGUCCCCCACACUGGUACUGAGACACGGACCAGACUCCUACGGGAGGCAGCAGUGAGGAAUAUUGGUCAAUGGGCGAGAGCCUGAACCAGCCAAGUCGCGUGAAGGAUGACUGCCCUAUGGGUUGUAAACUUCCUUUACAAGGGAAUAAAAUGAGAUACGUGUAUUUUAUUGCAUGUACCUUGGGAAUAAGCAUCGGCUAACUCCGUG